rnacentral:lncRNA from 1 species
CUUGACCUGCUGAAUUAGAAGGAAAACAUGGCGACACCCCUGUUCCUUACUAGUGUUGCUUAAAAUGCACCUUAUAAUCUGGUGCCCUUAUGUAUGAAAAUAGACUCGAAAAUAGACAUUCAUUGAUAGUGUGCCUAUUAAUUUGGUGCACGUUAUAGUCCAUUAAAUACGGUAAACAGCCCUAGUAUUAAUUACAGUACUUCACCUCCCCAUGUAAAUCAAACACUGUCCAAAUUAAAUGAAUUAAAGCGCUGUAGAAAUUUUCAGAUUACAUUUUUUCCUCCUAUCCUCCAUCUGAAUUCUAUUCAUAUUCUUCAGUUUUGCAGGAGACAGAAAACAGGCACGUUUUGUUGGGGGGGAACCACCCGUUCUAGCAGACAGAUGCAACACCUUUCAGAGAACCCAGACACUACACACUCCACUGACUUCCUUGUCCAGCCUGUACCAGCAACACAUCAUAGAAGGCAUCACCACCCACAGUGGACAGGGCAGUUUGUGGUAAUAAUCGUGACCGGCGGCUUCUGUCUAGACUUGUCCAUGCAAACAGACAAGUUCCAGACAAGUGACUCCCCACCCUUAUCUCCCACAGUUUAUUGAUCCACACUUCAGUUCCGGCUGACAUUCCUGCUUGAAAAGGGCUCUCUAUAAAAGUGGCUAUUUUACUUUCUCCUCUGGAAGAUCUCUGAUGGCCAAGUCAUUUCAAGAGGUGUUAACAGCUCUUUGACGCUACGGCAUCCGGCUCAAGUGAAUACUGAAGGAGAGGUGCAGCGCACAAUACCUGAGGAUCUGUACUUAAUCUACAAGAGCAUUCUUAUCAUUCACGCAUCCUUCAGAUUCUUCAGAAGAACCGAGCUCCUAAUAAAGAUGAAUGACUUUUUAGCGGGUUUCCUUCA